rnacentral:lncRNA from 1 species
ACCUCACUUAAUUGCAAUAGUUGUUAUGGUGUAUAUUGAUCUUUUGCUUUGUAUUUCUUCUUAAUAGUCAACAUUUAUUACUAAAUAUUGUAGGUUAUUUGUGCAUCUUCGCUCUGUAUGAUUUUAGAGUUACUUUGUCUGUCUUUUAGCAUGUCCAAUCUGUGUCAUACCUAGAGUUUAGUGCAGGUGGAGGUCUACAUAGUCAAACCAAAGCAAUUUUCCCAUUGUGCCAUAUUUUUGAUUGUUCUCUCAUUGUGUCAUUUAUGUGUGCUACUUGAUCUCUUUGUUAAACGUAAUAAUUUCAAAUUUUGUUUAAUCAUGUGCACCAGACACCUUUCUUAACAGUCUCAUUUUUAUGGCAUGCAUUUGUAGAUAUUUAGGACCAGCAUUCACAUCCAUAUACGUUGUUGAUCUCAUGUCCAUUUCAUAGACUUCCUUUUUAACUUUUUCAGGCAUCUUCUUAUCAAAUAGUAUUCCUGCGAUACUCCUCUAUUUGGACUUUAUUCUAUUGUUACAUCUUUAUCUAUCCAUGUCAUUUCCUUGGAAGACUGAAACCUAUACCUAAAUUUUCCGCGUUUAAACACCAUCCACUUCACGCUUGUUAUUUGAGUGAUAAACUUGCAACUCAUAUAUUUGAUGUACUUUUACCUAUCUUAUAGCCUGUUUGGCCAAGCUUCUCCAAGGCCAAAAUCACUUUAUUUCAAAAAAAUAUAUUUUUUUAAAAGUUGAGAUGUUUGGCCAAGCUUCUAGGAAGAAAAAAAAUACUUUUGAGUAAAAACAAAAGCAGUUUUUGAGAAGCAAAAAAAGUAGCUUCUUCCCAAAAGCACUUAUUUGAAAAGCGCUUUUGAGAAAAAUACACUUAAAAGCACUUUUUAAAGCUUGACCAAAACUAAUUUGCUGUUCAAAAGUGCUUUUCAAAUUGACUAGCCAAACACAAACUUUAAAAAAAAAAGUACUUUUCAAAAUAAGCUGAUUUUAGAAGCUUGGCGAAACAGGCUAUUUGAACCCUUACUCUUUAUCGUGCUUAUUUUUAUUUCUAACUUUCGGUUGACCUCCUCGCUAAUUUCAUGAAUUAACAUAUUACCAUUUGCAAAUUUCAUGAACUGCGGAACAUCAUCCUUUAUGCUAUUGGUUAGCUCAUCCAAUGGUUUACGGGAACUCCUCUGUAACUCUUUCCUGUUCUUGAACUUGUGAUCUCUCCCUUGUAUAUCUUCCAUUGGAAAAUAUAAGAAGUGGAUAUAAGCCCAAUCUAGAGGUAGGGUAAGAUAGCACAGGGGCCUGUACCCGAAAUAUAAGAAGUGUAGACAUGGGUUGAUAUGGUGUCAAAGGGUUAAAAUAUUAGAUCAACUUAAUAAUCUAUCUAUUAUGUAUUAUACACUUAUAAACAUUUUACCCAUGGUUUCACGUUAAGCUAUUAUCACUUAGCUAACUUGAUCUUUUAUUUGCUAAGGCUAAUUGAUUUCAAUAUUACAACUUCUUAAAAGAGCCCCAUGAAAUUGAACACUUCAUUACCUUUAUAAAUAUAAUGAACUUUUUUGAUAGGAAAGGAAAUUAAUAUUGAAUUAAUUGUAUGGUAUUUUAAAAACAUUGUACUGCGCUGAAUAGUUCUCAAGUUAUUGUUUUUGAAGCAUUUUACCGAUUUGAAUUGUCAUAGGAUGUUUAAUAUAAUUAAAAAAUUAAUAUUAUAGGUUCCAUAAGUUCUAUAAGGUAGAGAGCCAAUAUUUAUGGGUUUGGAUUGGGAAAAGUUCAAAAUUUCCAAAUUUAGAUUAAAGUUCCGAAUUUUAGAAUCAAACUUUAAAAUGGUUAGAUGAUUUAUGAUAUUAUGGCUGUUUUUAUGCUGGCUAUUACCUAUCACAAUCCUCCUUUCUUCGCACCUAGGACAAAUUUUGCGAGGCUCACAUCGGUGGAGUUUGAGAUUCAUAUUGCCGACCCAACUUGUUUGUAUUGAGUGCAAUGGAUAUAGAGAUGGAGAUGUAGUUGGAUGGAUUAAAAAAAGAUUUAGGCAAAACUCUGAACUAACUUUAUGCUGUUCUCGCUCCUAGUGAUUAACCUUUUUCUUGAGAAAUUAGUUUGGAUAGGAUUGGAAAAAAAAUGAGACAAAUCAAGGAUUUUAUUAGGGAGGUGAAAAGAGGACCAAGUCUUGCAGUUCUUUACGGGCGAUAAUGAAGUUAUUUCAAGGAAAGG